AAUGAAUUAUAGUCGAAUUUCGACUACUGCGGGACCUCUAGUAAUAAAAAAAUAUGUCAAAUGAUAAGCGUCGGUUGUCGUUGAUCACAUAAAUUACAAUCGCUAUGAGAUCAAAGAUACAAUGUAAAAUGAUUGUGCAGUAUUCAUAACAAAGGUUGAAUUCAUAGAUCCAUACAAAUUUUCAGCUCAGCUCAAGAUCCGGACUAGACUCUCCACCAUUUGCCUGCGAGGGAUUCUUGAAUUCUUUGGUCACGUUGCAAGGAAAGACAGUUACAGCUUGGAGAAAUUGGUGGUCACUGGAAUGGUCGAGGGCAAGCGACCAAGAAGCAAGAACCCGACCCGUUGGACGGACCAGAUUCGUGCAGCCCUUGACACCACAGUGCACGAUGCUCUGCACGAGGAAGAGAGAUUAGACCAUUUAUAUGCAGAGAAGUGUGCAGGUUUCUCGAAGAAGUGGUAGCACCAAGCACGGUGGUAGUAUCUACAGUGUGACGUACCAACCAGUUAAUCCAUAAAAUGAGUUAUUCGGGUGCUUUUAAAGAUUAUCUUAGGUGCGUUCGAAGAUGUAUUCUUCGGUAAGCAGAUAUUUCCUUUUUUUUGUUCCAUUUGACAUGAAAAGAGCAUUCCUUGUAUUUAGCUUAAAAAAAUGUCUCUAGCGGUAAUAGUAUCUAACUACUAUUACGUCGAGAAUUUCUUUCGUGUUUAUUAAUAAAUCUUGUACAUUUUUUAUGUUAAUUAUUAUUAUUAAGAUUUUUUUUUGCUUAGACCGGAAGACGAGCUUACUGCUCACCUGGUGUUAAAUUAUUACCGCAAACCGUGGAUAUUAGUAACAUAAAUGACGUCACCCGAAGCUACAUGGGCCAAUGAUAGAGUUUGCAAGUUUUCGUGGUCCCUAUACUAACACAGUUACUCAAAGUUAGUAAAGUUAACAAAAUAAUUUCGGCGCUAGACAAAGGGUAUGAAAAUUGUAUAAAGUUGAACUUUAUUGAUUACAUUCAUUCAUUUUAGAAGUAAGAAGUUUCCACACCGAUUACUACUGCACUGACUACCCGGUUAUAGAAGAACUUUUACUUAACGAUCGAUCGAUGAUCGGAUCGAUUAAUGAAAUGAUUACCUCAGAACGAUGGAUGACUUACACGCUUAAGCACCCUUAAUUUCAUACGCGCCCGCACACGCAGGUACCACCACCGUGCCUAGUUCUGUCGUGAAGCAGUAUUGAGUUUCGCUUUAAGAGAUUAAUCAGCCGUUCUACUGUAAAACUGAGACUUAGAACUUUAAGUAAUCAAAAAAAUAUGAUUAAUUUUAUUUAAACCAUUAUAAUAAUAUCAGAAUUCUUGCAAUUUGUUAUGAUAUAAAGUGCUUUUAUUAAUACUAGUCGUCGUUGAUAAACAGACCACAUCUAAUGGAGCCUGAGAAAUAUUAAACAAAAUUUCACCAUAUUCCGAUAUGCAAUAAGCCUCUAUUUCGUUAUCAACAAAUAUAUGUUAUCUCUCUCUUUCUUUAUUUUUUUGUUUCAUGGAGUCCUAUGGAAUCGACACUACUUAAGCCCACUGAGUUUCUCGCCAGCCCAUUGAGUCGCGAUUCCGAUCCGGUGGCAGAUUCUGCGAAGCACUGCUCUUGCUAGGCUUCAACCCUGAAAUAUACAUCGAAACGAGGAGGAAUGUACAAAGAUCCCGAAGCUAAAAUAUCUUCAGCAAAUAUACUGACUUCGUCUUGGGAAAUUAAUUAAUAUCCUAAUAGUUAAUGUUAAGGCUUAAAGAAAGGUCGACAUGUAGCCAUCGUAAUUUUCAUAUCCAUUUUUCUUGGACCAGACUCGAGAUAUUCGAACAGAACCGCGCCAAGUAACACGUAGACCACUACCAGAAUCACGAGUCCUAUUUGUGAGCAGGCUGCCCUUGUGAUAGCGGAGCCUGCACGACGAAAGAAUC